rnacentral:rRNA from 1 species
UGGGGAAUAUUGCACAAUGGGCGAAAGCCUGAUGCAGCGACGCCACGUGAGGGAUGACGGCCUUCGGGUUGUAAACCUCUUUCAGCAGGGAAGAAGCGCAAGUGACGGUACCUGCAGAAGAAGCGCCGGCUAACUACGUGCCAGCAGCCGCGGUAAUACGUAGGGCGCAAGCGUUGUCCGGAAUUAUUGGGCGUAAAGAGCUCGUAGGCGGUCUGUCGCGUCUGGUGUGAAAUCCCAUGGCUCAACUGUGGGCUUGCAUCGGGUACGGGCAGACUAGAGUGCUGUAGGGGAGACUGGAAUUCCUGGUGUAGCGGUGGAAUGCGCAGAUAUCAGGAGGAACACCGAUGGCGAAGGCAGGUCUCUGGGCAGUUACUGACGCUGAGGAGCGAAAGCAUGGGGAGCGAACAG